CCCCGUCACAUCGAAUCUUGCGGCACAUGCAUGAAGCAUUAAAUUUAGACGAAAACAAAAACUAAUUACGCAGUUUACCUGUAAAUCACGAGACGAAUCUUUUGAUCCUAGUUAGUCUAUGAUUGGAUAAUAUUUGCCACAAACAAACGAAAGUGCUACAGUAGCGAAAUCCAAAAAUUUUUCCAAACUAAACAAGGCCUCAGAAAUGCAUGGUAGGAUCACAGCCUGUUUGGUUGACCUUAUCAGUUCAAUCUGCCAGCUCUCAUAAUAAAUCAGCGAAUAAUACUUUCUGUCAUGACUUAUCAGCCAAACAACUGGGCAGUAGCAUAGCAUUGCCCUGAAUUUCUCUCAUCAGUUACUAUUUGUAUUGGAGUCUUUUUUGGAAGAUCUUCAUGUCACUUUUAAUUUUGCAAAUUUGAAUCUUUACUGGGUGCAUUAUUUUUUUUCCUUUAAAAAAGCUUUUGCACUGCCUAUUAGUUUUAUGGAAUACUAAUAUGCGAUCCAGAUUAUAAAGCAACAGAGGAUGUACUAGUAUAUCCCCCUGUUAUCUUUGCCCCUUUUAAAAGCCUGUAUGUAUGUACCCCAAAGAUCCUACUCCAACAGCAGCUUAGUUGUAUAAAAGCCUCCCUAUAGAACUGUGAACCCAAAAAAGAUAGAUUCCACAGCAUGAUACGAAUUUGGUAGACCCUACACAGUACACAUACACACUAAGAGAUGAACCAACCAUUAGAGACAAAACCCAUGUUUUGUCCUAAGAAUGUUUAAACCUUCUUGCAUUGAGGCAUACACAAACCUAAAAGAAUGGAAGGGGUUGGCCUCAAAAGUGGAGAAAGUGGGGAUAAAGGGGACGGGCUGUGGUUGUACCCCCAUAAAAACAAACCUUGCUCUGUUUGGGUGCUUCCUCUUGUAUUAGGCUGAAAACCACUAGCAUGUCCCUCUAGUCCCUCUUGUUUUUCUUCUCAAAAGGAAGCCCUAAUGCAAUCAAGUAUCACUUGUCCUCUGCACUAAGUUAGCUUCCUACUUGUCUCAGGAAUAAUCCUUGUUGUGGGAUGUUGCCUCUGUAUGUCCCAUUUAUUUGGUCCAUAACAUAAGGUGUGGGGCUCUUGGCAUUUGAGGCAUGCAUGGGCAUGGGAAAAAGUGAGGAAGCAACACAGAAGAAGGCAACAAAAAGUGCUAGCUACGUCUAGAUAAACUUUUGCUUGGCUUAAGCCCGUGGCCUGAAUAGAAUUUGGUUUAAGUUUAACCCACAAGUCAAAGAUAUAUACGGGUCUUAACUAAUCAUCUCAAUCAAGUUGUAGUCUAUCUAUUCAUGUUCAUCACAUGAUUUGAAAUUCACAUGAUUGAAAGAAAUGAGAUUAGAAUUCACAUGAUUUGAAAUGUCUCAGAGCCCUUGACGAUUUUAUAUUAUUCUCUCAUCUCUUUUUUCCUCCAAAUAAAAUCUACAUGGCUGACAUAAUCCACUAGUAUUUUCCAACUUGAAAAUAAUCCAAGAAAUUAAUAAAUACUAAAAUAAACCAGGUAGGACCGGAUCGACAGAAUGAGCCCAAAAAGUCCAGUUAGGAUUCACGUUGCCGGUUAUGUCUAUCUUCAGGCAACGCAGUGUCCUUUAAUUGCCCUAAUGAUCAUAAGAUGACGCGAAAAUCAAUAUUUAAUCUGGCCAACAUCAACAGCCACAGCAAGAUAACAAGAUUGACAGACAGCAAGACAGCCGGACAUGCUCGCAGUCUGAUGAGGCUUGGAAUCUGGGCGAUUUAUAAAAAUCGCCAACACUGCAAAUCUCACAUGCAUGGAUCUUCUCAGCUCUGAGCUAUGUACAUAGUAUCUCUUAUGUCUGAACAGGGAGAGAUUUACUACGAGUCCAAUACUUGUUAAAGCUCUUUGUCAGAUGAUCUUGAGUAAUCCUUAUAUCAGGAGAUCGACUGAUGUAAAAUAUUGACUUGAUUUCAGUGACCAACAUAAGAACACACUUGACCUGACAUGCAUCCUAAGCCUAAUAUAAAGUUUGAGGUAGUUUUGCUAUUCUGAACAGGAGUGGAAGACCAACUGUGAGUCUGUGACGCAGUAACAUUUAAUGUCCAAGAACCGAUAUGCUAUACUUAACUCGUCCAUUGUCGUCAAAAAAAAACUUAACUCGUUCAUAACAUAGUGCUAUCUAAAAAUGUGCCAAGUCCAAGUGUGCAAUGUUUAGUCUCUCCAAGGUCUCCUCCUAGGUUCUUACGCCGUUUUAUUCUGGUUUAUUGCAGGGUCAAAACACAGGAGAAUCCAAUGUCUUCUACCGAAGCAAGUUGGUAGCAGUAUAGUAACAUCUAGGCCUUGUUUAGUUCCCAAAAAAUUUUGCAAAAUUUUUCAGAUUCCCCGUCACAUCAAAUCUUGAGACGCAUGCAUGAAGUAUUAAAUAUAGACGAAAAUAAAAACUAAUUGCACAAUUUGAUCGGAAUCGACGAGACGAAUCUUUUGAGUCUAGUUAGUCCAUGAUUGGAUAAUAUUUGUCAAAUACAAACGAAAGUGGUACUAUUCUUAUUUUGCAAAAUUUUUUAGAACUAAACAAGGCCUAGCUAGAAUUACUUCUUUUGAAUCUCUGUUUUGAACAAGGUUAUUUUUAAAUCUUCGGUCCACAAGUGAAAAGGAGAUACCUUUUGUCCACUUUGCAGUGGCAGUUGUUGCGCGUGGGUGCAAUAACAAGAGGAAAUAAUGUAUCCCACAUUCGCACCAAUGGGAAAUUCUUUUACUUAAAAAGAGAUUGAAUGUAUAAUAUUUCUGUCCACUUUAGAUUUAUUUUUAUUUUUAAUAUAAUCAUAUAAUCUGCAGUCCUCCUAUCUAAUUUGUUAAAAAUUCCUAAUAAUUAACGCUUAGCUCUUGGCUCUACCUCUGCCUCGCAAAAAUGUGGAUUGCGAUACCAUAAUACUCUCUUAAAAUUACUUUAUCUAUAGGUUGACCUUGAAUGGGACUAAAUAUUUUACUGUGAUGAUAGCAUAUUUAGUUUCAUACAUCAACCAGUCCGCCUACGCACAUCACAUUACAUGAAAAUAUAGGUGUGGUGUAUGUUGUUGUCGACAUCCAUAAAUGCUUCACAAAUUUUGAUCUUAACAAUAGACCAUACUCUCUCUGUCUUAUAAUAUAACGAUGUAUAACAACAUCAAAAAAUUAUUCCAAAAUACGAAGGAUUUAUAAAAUAAAAGGACAAAAUUGCAUUAAAAUAAGCGCACAAAUUUGUACGUAAUUUUUUGUUACUUAACAUUUACUCCAUCAAGCAAACCCCUUCCAUCAGGCAGAUGACGACAACACAUAUAUAUAUAUGCGAGAAUUAUAUUGAUCAAUAGUACAUUAAGUGAGAGUACAUACAUCUUUUGUGUUAUGUCUUAACUUUAACUUAUCUUAAAAAAAUUAUACAUUCUAUUAUUAUAGGGCGCAGUGAGUAUACAAAGAAGAGGAAGAAACCUUGAAAGCAUGCAUCUAGCUGGAUUAUUACAAACACAACAACUAGCUAAGUAGGUCUAAACCAAAGAGGUAAAACAAAACAUAUUUCGCCGGGACUCGUGCGGCUCAGUGUGCAUGCAUGCAUGCAAGUAAAAGCACAAAAGGUCAAUGAUACGUGCGCCCCUGGACCUUGCGUUCUUUUUGGGUGUGCACACACACAUACAGAGACACAUCAAAGAACUCGACGGGUGAAAAAAACUCGAAACGAACGAAAAAGGCCAUACAACAAAAGCCAAACAAAAGGGCCGGGGUUCAGUUAGCAGGCUAACUAAAGGGCGCCAAACAAAAGGGACUUCAGCUUACCACGCACGGGCUGUGCAGGGCAGGGCAGGAAAAAAAAAGAUUUUUGUGUCAAAAAAAGUCGAAAAGGCGAAGCCCUGCGAGGAGAAAAGGCCGGGUUUUGCAAUCAACUUUUCACCAAAAGAUGAGACACACUACAAUAAUAGAUGGGGCAUUUUUCGUUGUUGGUCGGUGUAUAAUUUGGCACAAAAUGUGCAUGUGUAUAACAAGAGAGAGUGGUUAUGAACUUAUUAUUUGGAUUUGUUUAGGAGCUUAGAAGAGAAUGCUGAUUUUUCGUUGGUCCCGGGUCGGCCCGGGCUAGGUCAUGGACCCUCUUGGCCUAUCGAUGCCGAUGCUUGGGCGCAUGACAAGGCAUUAUAUAUAUACAGCAUGGUAGGAUGCCCCUACUUCUGAUAAUUAUGUGUGAGAAUUUCGCUGCGAUCAAAGGUCUUUUUUUUUAAGAACCAGCUGCAAAAGCAUGCCAAGUAUGUAUUGAAAGAGAAGAAGUUUUACAAAAACUAAUUAAAAAAUAAAAACAAAACCCUCACGAAGGAGUCAACAACAAAGACCACAACCACAUGGAAAACACAACACUAACGAACAUCAGAAGCAACAACCUUCGAAUGCCACCUUGCAUACCACCAGUUGUGACCAAAGUUGCACCACGUAUAUGGUACCAUUUAAAAAACUUGGCGAACAUAAAUUGAGAUAAGGGCGUGUUUAGUUUGUCAACGAAAAAAUUUCGUGACACUGUAGCACUUUCGUUUGUUUGUGGUAAUUAUUAUCCAACCAUAGACUAACUAGGCUCAAAAGAUUUCUCUCGUAAAUUUCGACCAAACUGUGUAAUUAGUUUUUAUUUUUGUCUAUAUUUAAUACUCCAUGCAUGCGUCUAAAGAUUCGAUGUGAUGGGAAAUCUUCAAAAAUUUUGGGUUUUGGGAUGCAACUAAACAAGGCCUAAGGCCAUUUAUUUUCCCUUCCUCUUGUAUAUAAGUUGUGUAACAGAAUGAAAACAAAAUUUGGGUGUGUCUAAGAUUCUAAGGCUAGCCUCAAUGCAUGUUUCAUGAGAGUGUCAUGCACAUUAAAUAGGGUGCCACAUAAGCAAAAUUGCUGACUUGACAGGGUCAUUAAAUGAAGGAGUUUCAUCAGAUGAUAGAGGAGUUUUAUCCUCAUGAAACUUAUAUGGCUCGGUUAUCUAGUUUAUAGUCUUGGUAACUGUGUCAUAAAACUAUGCAUUGAGACUGGCCUAACGUCCCUGGUACCUGAAUUCCUAGUUAAGUCAAUUUGUUGUAUACAAUUAAAUUAUACUCCCUCCAUCUUAUUGAAAGUGUCAUUGUCGACGAAAGCUAGUCGGCAGUCUACCUUGGGGUAUACCCACGGUAGUAGUUUAUCAGUAGACGGUGCGCAAACUACGAACUCGAUGGUGACGCAAGACACGGACAAGUUUUUUAUCCAGGUUCGGCCGCCGAGUUGGCGUAAUACCUACGUCCUGCGUCUGAUUGUAUUGAUUUGUGUUGAGAGAAUAAUGAUGUGAUGUGUAUGAUCUGUCCUCUAGGGGACUCCUGCCCCUCCUUAUAUAUCCUGAAGGGACAGAGUUACAAACAAAGUAUCCUAUUUGGUAUAAUAUCUUGUAGCCUUGCGGUGCACGCCGACUAGUCGUGCACCGCACGUCUUCAUCCUGUGGACCGAGCCACCUCUGAUGGUGCGGCCCAUAUAGGCCCAUGAGGGUAUAGGAGUUUAUACCCCACAGUCAUUGUUUAUUUUCAAACUCCUUGUUUGACCAUUCAUUUUAUUCAAAUUUUUUAUAUAAAUAUUAUUUAUUUUGUUAUGACUUGUUUUGUCAGCAAAAAUACUUUAACAAUGAUUUAUCUAUUUUACUGUUUUCAUAAAUAAUUUAAAUAAGAUGAACGGUCAAACAAGAAAUCUGAAAGUAAAAAACGACACUAUCAAGACGGAGGGAGUAAGUAUUAUUUACCCGUAGAAAAAAACAGUUAAGAUAUAUGUUAGAAUUAGAGUGAUUUAGGUGUAAUUAAUUAAUAGGUAGAAUCGGCGAAAUUAAAAUACAUGUAUUUUACACAUUUCAUAAUCUAGUUGGUGUUGAACACGUAAAAGACACCUGAUGUUUUUUCAAAAAAAAUAAGUUGUAUGUGUAUUCAAAAAAUCCCGGCGUGGUUAGUUAUAUUACCUUCUCUAUCCUCAAAUAAGGGAUCUAAGUUUAUCCUAUUAAAUUAUGUUAACUUUGACCAAAAUUAUAUAAAAAAGAAUAAUAGUUACGGCAUCAAAUUAGCAUCAUUGGAUAUAUUAUAAAAUACAUUUUCAUAAUUUACAUCUGUAAUACUACUCUAUAAUUUUAGUCAAAAUUUUAUAUAAUUUUAUUUAGGAUAAACUUGAAUCUCUUAUAGUUGAGGACACAUGGAGUAUGAGUACCUAGGUGUUGGGUAGAUAGCACAUUCAAAUUUAGGCUUUUAUUUUUUAACAAAAAAAAAGUAUCCCUCGUGCGUAUUCUAGCUUCUUUUUGAAAGAAAACAAAACAAUCAAACAGCUAAAACCCAAGAUUUGUCCCUUCUUUGUCAAUGGAAGAAAAAUUGAAUUUCAUAUAUACAACCCAAUGAAGUACUAGAGAGCACUAUAUAUAUCUACAGAAAAUUUGUACGUAGUGGGAUACUGGGAUUUGAUCAAACCUGUUAAAUUUGUACGUAGUCUUGUCAAAUGGCAAGACAUCAAGUGCACGCCAAAGUAGUUCUGGUUGUUAGAAUUAGGCCUCGUUCAGUUGGCAAAAACCGGUGAAAAACGACAAUGUAGCACUUUCGUUUUUAUUUGACAAACAUUGUCCAAUUAUAGAGUAACUAGGCUCAAAAGAUUCAUCCCGCGGUUUACAGAUGAACUGUGCAAAUAGUUUUUGUUUUCAUAUAUAUUUAAUGCUCCAUACAUGUGCCGCAAGAUUCGAUGUGACGGGGAAUCUUGAAAAAUUUUGCGAACUAAACAAGGCCUUUACAGCACGAUUCGGUCGGUGAGUUAGGUAACUGUGCGUAGGGUCAAAAGAGUGGCGCGUCACGCGACUCAUCAGUCAUCACCGUUUGCUUUGCCCGCCAUGUCUUUCAGCAAAAGCACUCUCUGCUUCAAAUGGAGCUGGGCAAGUACUACCUUGGGCCCCUUCAAUUCAUGAUCCGUGCCAUCACUCUCCUUAGUCUCAAGUCAGUACUUUGCUCGCUGGUAGUAUACAACCCUACAAAGACACUAGUAUACCGGCCUUUUGGUUUGACUACUCAUCAUGGAGUAAAAAGAUGCAUGUUUGAUCACCUAAGAACACUGUAAAGAAGAAAGAAAAAAUAGUUGUUCAUGUAUACGGUGGUGCGGUGUAAAGUUUUGGGAUGUUAGGUACGUGUGUGGCAUCGGGUGUCACAUAUGUGUCGUAUUAGGUUUCAGAUAGUAAUAAAAAAAUAAAUUACAAAAUCUAUCAGUAAGAAUUUAUUAAGUAUAAUUAAUCCAUUAUUAUUAGUACAUAUGUUAGAGCACCUCUAGAAGUUUGGCAAAACAACUCCCUAUCUUAAUAUUUUAGGAAAAAAAAAGAAAAAAGCUCCCUCCAGCAAUUUGGUAAAAUAGCUCUUUAAAAAUAGAAAGUUGUCAAAUAUCCUCUUCAACUCAUAAAUUUCCAAAGUCGAGAGAACUCCCUAUCUCUCCUCCUUGAACCUAUUUUCACGCCAUUUCUCAUACAGUCCUCUGGUCCGACUGUUGCGGGUAUAGACCGGCCUCCAUUGCCACUGUCCUAUAUGUCAACGCUAUCGCUCCGUGCUUGCCACAUGUGUUAUUGAUCUUUGGUUCGAAAGCAUGACAUACUGUCUUCACAUGUGCAUAGCAUGCUAUCUUUAUAUAUGCUCAUCACUUGCAUUAUUGGCGGAAGGCAUGGAAGCUAGACACGUCUUGCUGACCAUGGAAAGCUAGUGCUUGCUUCAAUGUGGUGCCGACAAAAGAUGUAAUUUUCUUUUUUCAAUUUUUUAAUGAACGACAUAAUAAACCAAAAAUUCAUUAAAUGUGGGUUAUACUAUAACUUUUAGAAAAUUAUUAUAGGAGACUGUUGGAGAAGAACAAAAAUUAAGGUUGCUAUUUCUUUUAUUAACUUGCUAAAUUGAUUAAUUUAGCAAGUAAAUUAUACAAAACUCCUGGAGAUGCACUUAUUGUAGCACUUUUUUUUUGUCAAAUCAUGGACUAAAGUCAUCAUCGGUGGGAGUUUCAUGAUCCAGUUUCCAACACAUCCAUAUUUUGAAAAUAGUGCAUAGGAGUUUUAUGGAGAUGAAACUCUCUCUAGUCCAAUGAAAUUCUUAUCAUCUCUAUUCAUUACAUAGCACCACAUCAGCAUAUUUAAUAUGCAUGAAACUCUCAUAAAACGCCAUUAAGACUGGUCUAAUUAGGCUUAGAAGAUUUGUCUUGCAAAGUAGUCGCAAUCUGUAUAAUUAGUUAUUUUUUAGUCUAUAUUCAAUAUUAUAUUCAUAUUUCUAAACAUUCGAUUAGAUUUACGCCUUGUUUAGUUCCUAAAUUUUUUUGUUUUGGCUACUGUAGCAUUUUUGUUUUUAUUUAGCAAUUAUUGUCCAAUCAUGGACUAACUAGGCUCAAAAGAUCCAUCUCGCGAUUUACAUGCAGACUGUGUAAUUAGUUUUUGUUUUUGACUUUAUUUAAUAUUUCAUGCAUGUGUCGCAAGAUUCGAUGUGACAGAGAAUCUUAAAAAGUUUUUAGAGGUGAACUAGUUCAUCCCAAAAACUAUUUUUUUAAGAUUCUUCGUCAUAUCAAAUCUUGUUGUGGUACAUGCAUGGAAUAUUAAAUAUAGACAAAAACAGAAUUUAAUUGCAUACUUUGCC
rnacentral:lncRNA from 1 species